GCCGAGCGUUGUGGCGAGCGCUUGUAAUCCAGUUUCUAGGAGGCAAAAGCACCGAUUAACGGGUGUGCACAGAGCGAGUGUCUAGAACAAGGGCCAAGUCAACAAGGGGCGCUGGUGGGAGCACCGGUGUUCCUGGUUGUUAAAGAGCGGGGCAACGGUUCAGGCCCGAAAGGGAGCAGACAAAACCCGCCGCUUGGUCACAGUGUUCAGAUUGCACUUGCGAGCAUACCAUUCAACGUUGAUUGGGUUCGCUUUUU
rnacentral:SRP_RNA from 1 species